rnacentral:lncRNA from 7 species
AUCCACCUCGUGCUGCCACUGUCAUGGUCGGUUCAUGCCAAGCCAAGCGAAGCACAGAGAAGCGGUGAAGACAUAGGGAGUAGUGGGCCACCGUCAUGUUUCCUUGACCUCGACGGAGUUUGUAGCACUAGAUCGAGCCUAGGAGCAUCACAGGAGCGCAUGGAGUCCGACCGGUGGCCAACCAAGCGGAGGCGAGGGCGGUGCAGUGGCAAAUUACUAUGAUCUAUGGCCAAGGAUCUCCACGCCAUUAUUUCCAGUAA